UUGAAGGGAGCUGCUCCUAGUACGAGAGGACCGGAGUGGACGAAUCCCUGGUGAUCCAGUUGUCUCGCCAGAGGCAUAGCUGGGUAGCUAAAUUCGGACAGGAUAACCGCUGAAAGCAUCUAAGCGGGAAGCCCCCCCUAAGACUAGAUGUCCCUUCCGUCUUUGGACGGACUAAAGACCCCUCGUAGACUACGAGGUUGAUAGGCCGGGUGUGUAAGUGCGGCAACGUGCUAAGCUAACCGGUACUAAUCGGUCGUGAGGCUUGACCAC
rnacentral:rRNA from 1 species